UCGAUAAUAUUAUACAAACU
rnacentral:snRNA from 1 species